UAAGUCCUAUAACGAGCGCAACCCCUAUCGUUAGUUGCCAACAGGUAAUGCUGGGAACUCUAGCGAGACUGCCGGUGCAAACCGCGAGGAAGUGGGGAUGACGUCAAAUCAUCACGGCCCUUACGUCCUGGGCUACACACGUGCUACAAUGGCCGGUACAGAGAGCAGCCACUCCGCGAGGAGGAGCGAAUCUACAAAACCGGUCUCAGUUCGGAUCGCAGUCUGCAACUCGACUGCGUGAAGCUGGAAUCGCUAGUAAUCGCAGGUCAGAAUACUGCGGUGAAUACGUUCCCGGGCCUU
rnacentral:rRNA from 1 species